UUACAGUGAAGUACGUCGCCAGGUAGGUUUCACUGCUCGUGUACAAAGAGGGACCACUAUUGGACUUUUUUCCACAGUCGUUCGAGGAUCAGCCGAAGGUGAACUUGUCUGUCUACAAUCCGGAGUUACCAUCUAUUAUUCAUCCCGCUUCCUGUACUGAAACGGAAUACAGUGUGAAUUAUAUCUGGAAUUUGAAAAGGGAUUUAAUUCGGAAAAAAAACUUUUGAACUUUUGAAAAGUUGAAGAUACAAAUGGCUCGAUUGUCGAGAAAUGGUUUGCUGUACUGGUUAUUGGCUGCGUCGAUGGCAGUUACAUGCUACGCAGCUGCUGCUGCUGAUCCUGCUGUCGAUUCCAAGCCCGCAUUGCAAAAUUUCGCUGAAUCGACCGAAAAAGUCAAAAGUCGAGACAGUCACGCACUCAAAUCUGAUGUGUCGUACACCAAUUAUUUGAAAGCACCUCAAAUCCAACCUCCGACACCAGUAGCGUUGUCAGGAUCAGCAGCAGGUGUUUCCUUUCCGUCCAUCGCCCAGCCAGCGGCCCAGCCAGCGGUCCAGCCUGCAGUUCAUCCGGCAUCCCAUUCGAUUCCUGUUCCAGCUUUGUACAGUAACCCACAAGAAACCACCAUGGGCUACGUGUAUUAUUACCUACCGCAGGUUGCCGAGAAAUACUACCCCAAGCUCAAAGAUCUGAUGCCCUACGUCAAACAUUAUGGAUACGCUGCAUCUCGAGCGUGGCAAAACAUGCCCAGCAUGCGUCAAAUGGCCGACAGGACGUUCGAUAUCACUUCAGCCAUUGGACUGGUCCUGUUGGCUCCCGUCAUGCUCAUAUCCAGCGUUCUCUUCUUGGGUUUCAUUGUGAUCCUCUUCUUCUUUCCUGCCGUGUCGGCGUUUGGCCGGAGACGAAUGGGACGCGAUUUGUCAGCUGUGGAAGAUCUCAACGAAGUUUUGGAUUUCGAUCGAUUCUUGCCGAUGGAGCAGUCCAGAACUUUGGCGUCGUUGGCUGCCCGCGUUGACGACGUGCUGGACAAUUACAUGCGCGCAUUCAAGAGCGACACCUGCCUGGAGAAAUUUUCUUGUCAAGCUGGCCAAAUGACUAGCCGGCUUGGCAAAUUGACUGAGCCCAUUAUCACGUUACUGGAGCCUCUGGUUCCUGCGUACAUGUACAAAAAGCUGGAGGCAUUCAAAAACGGUGCCCGCAGUGGCAGCGCCGAUUGCAGCGAAAUGAAAUGCAAACUUCCUUUCAUCGGAUAAGAACAACGUUUUUCACCCUCAACUAAUUCAACAGCUACCUAGUUUAUUUCGUUGCACAUUACCAGCCUUUAUUUUUUAAUUUAAUGAGACUCAAUCAGAGUCUACUUCGUUUCCCAAUGGAGGGCAAGCUGGUCUUGCUAUUAUAUUCAUUACGUUCCAGGAACCUGAUCAAUGCGAGCUAAAUACAAAUACCGUCACUCUCAGAUUGAGUUCUUCUAAUGAUUUGAAAAAAAAAGUACAUAGCAAAGUGCCAAGAAAAACGUUAUAAACACAGGUCAACGAAGAAACGACAGAACAUAAAUUGCUCGAUUCUUCCGCGUAUUGGACGAGUUGGGAUUAAACCACAUAUUUAUGCAAAGAGAGCUGGAAACACGUUUUUUAAGGCCAUUCAGCUGAUAUACUAGGAAGAUUCUUUGGGACGAUUUCCACAGUCUUUCGACAAACAGCCAAAGGUGAACUCCUUCGCCAUCAAUCCAAUGUUAACUGAUUCCGAUUUGCAGGUUAGUGAAUUUACUAUAGCGAAAUUCGUCGCUUUCUCGCUUUCAAAUCUGAACUGAAAGGUUUUUGUGACUAUUCUUUUAUUUUGCGUUAAGGUUGAAAAUAUGGCUAGAUUAUCGGGAAACUGGUUACUACCUUUUUUAUUAGCUGCGUCGUUAGCAGCUGCUGCACCAUCGGCCAUCGAUUCCACUGAUCCUGCCCUGGAUUCGAAACCCGUUUCCUUCGAAUCCGUCAAGAAUAACCUCGAAAACCGAAAAGGUCGCGCGCUCCAACCUGAUGAGUCACACGCUAACUAUGUUAGAUAUAAGAUGUCACAGCAAUCUGCUACAUCACUACCAUUGCCACCGAAUAUUCAUGGUUUUCCGUUCGUCCAACAAUUGAUCCAUCCGGAUACUUACUCGAUUCCUGACGCGCCUUCAUACAAUAAAUUGAACGAAUAUUCGAGUUCUUUCAAGAUGCUCAAACUGCAGGCAGAAAAAUAUUCUUCGAAGCUCAAAAAUCGGAUGCCUAUAAACUUGAAACCUCAUGUUGCAGUCGCUGCAUCUCGAGUCUGGCGAACUAUUCCAAGCAGAAGUGAAAUAGCUGACAGAGACAGAGUAACAUUCGGAACAAUCACUACUCUGCUGAAUUUUCUCAUUCCUUUAUUCAUCUCUGUGCCCAUUCUUUUAGUUGCUUUUGUUAUAUUGAUGGUAAGAAACUUCUUCUCGGGAAUCGCACAAGUGGGUCGAAGACGCGUGGGCCGAAACUUGUCGAUCGCGGAGGAUCUCAACGAAGUUUUUGAUUUUGAUCUUUUUUUGCCGGCUGGACAAUCUAGAAAUUUAGCAUCUCUUUCUGCUCGCGUGAAUAGAAUGCUCGAUGCCUACAUGACUGCUUAUAAGGACGGCACCUGCAUGGAGAAAUAUUCUUGCCAAUCUGGCCAGAUGACUAGCCGGAUUGGCAGGUUUACUGAGCCCAUUAUCACGUUACUGGAGCCUCUAAUUCCGGCGUAUGUGUACAGAAAUCUGAAGGCAUUCAAAAAAGGCGCCCGUAGUGGCAACGCCGAUUGCAGCGAAAUGAAAUGCAAACUUCCUUUCAUCGGAUAAGAACAACGUUUUUCACCCUCAAAUAAUUCAACAGCUACCUAGUUUAUUUCGUUGCACAUUACCAGCCUUUAUUUUUUAAUUUAAUGAGACUCAAAUCAGAGUCUACUUCGUUUCCCAAUGGAGGGCAAGCUGGUCUUGCUUUUAUAUUCAUUACGUUCCAGGAACCUGAUCAAUGUGUACUAAAUACAAAUACCGUCACUCU
rnacentral:misc_RNA from 1 species